AGUGAACGCUGGCGGUAGGCCUAACACAUGCAAGUCGAACGGCAGCACAGUAAGAGCUUGCUCUUACGGGUGGCGAGUGGCGGACGGGUGAGGAAUACAUCGGAAUCUACUUUUUCGUGGGGGAUAACGUAGGGAAACUUACGCUAAUACCGCAUACGACCUACGGGUGAAAGCAGGGGAUCUUCGGACCUUGCGCGAUUGAAUGAGCCGAUGUCGGAUUAGCUAGUUGGCGGGGUAAAGGCCCACCAAGGCGACGAUCCGUAGCUGGUCUGAGAGGAUGAUCGGCCACACUGGAACUGAGACACGGUCCAGGCUCCUACGGGAGGCAGCAGUGGGGAAUGUUGGACAAUGGGCGCAAGCCUGAUCCAGCCAUACCGCGUGGGUGAAGAAGGCCUUCGGGUUGUAAAGCCCUUUUGUUGGGAAAGAAAAGCAGCAGGUUAAUACCCCGCUGUUCUGACGGUACCCAAAGAAUAAGCACCGGCUAACUUCGUG
rnacentral:rRNA from 1 species